rnacentral:rRNA from 1 species
GAUGAACGCUGGCGGCGUGCCUAAUACAUGCAAGUCGAGCGAACAGACGAGGAGCUUGCUCCUCUGACGUUAGCGGCGGACGGGUGAGUAACACGUGGAUAACCUACCUAUAAGACUGGGAUAACUUCGGGAAACCGGAGCUAAUACCGGAUAAUAUAUUGAACCGCAUGGUUCAAUAGUGAAAGACGGUUUUGCUGUCACUUAUAGAUGGAUCCGCGCCGCAUUAGCUAGUUGGUAAGGUAACGGCUUACCAAGGCGACGAUGCGUAGCCGACCUGAGAGGGUGAUCGGCCACACCGGAACUGAGACACGGUCCAGACUCCUACGGGAGGCAGCAGUAGGGAAUCUUCCGCAAUGGGCGAAAGCCUGACGGAGCAACGCCGCGUGAGUGAUGAAGGUCUUCUGAUCGUAAAACUCUGUUAUUAGGGAAGAACAAAUGUGUAAGUAACUAUGCACGUCUUGACGGUACCUAAUCAGAAAGCCACGGCUAACUACGUG